rnacentral:rRNA from 1 species
GGAGGGUGCAAGCGUUAAUCGGAAUUACUGGGCGUAAAGCGCACGCAGGCGGUUUGUUAAGUCAGAUGUGAAAUCCCCGCGCUUAACGUGGGAACUGCAUUUGAAACUGGCAAGCUAGAGUCUUGUAGAGGGGGGUAGAAUUCCAGGUGUAGCGGUGAAAUGCGUAGAGAUCUGGAGGAAUACCGGUGGCGAAGGCGGCCCCCUGGACAAAGACUGACGCUCAGGUGCGAAACGGUGGGGAGCAAACAGGAUUAGAUACCCUGGUAGUCCACGCUGUAAACGAUGUCGACUUGGAGGUUGUGCCCUUGAGGCGUGGCUUCCGGAGCUAACGCGUUAAGUCGACCGCCUGGGGAGUACGGCCGCAAGGUUAAAACUCAAAUGAAUUGACGGGGGCCCGCACAAGGCUGGAGCAUGUGGUUUAAUUCGAUGCAACGCGAAGAACCUUACCUACUCUUGACAUCCACGGAAUUCGCCAGAGAUGGCCUUAGUGCCUUCGGG